ACCAAAAUUCGAACAAUAACAAAGUUUUAUUGAAUUGGAUUAUUAGAAAAUUCACUUGAUAUAAAAAAUGGAAACUUAAGUAAUUAAAUUGAAACUAAAAUACCAUUGAACAACAAAUUUAUUAGGAUCCAAAGAAAUAAUCAGACAGACGUGAACACUGUAGACCAUGAUGACAACAAUACAAUAUAAUAAUAUAACAACAUAUGUGAUAACAACAGUCGUCCUCGUCAUUCGUCAGUCACUAAUAAUCAAGCGUUCGGUGAGGAUGAUCGUGCGUACACGGUUUUGAAUUAAAAAAAAAUGAAAAAUAACUAUACGACAAGUGCGUAAUAUAUACGAAACAAAAAAUAAUCGUGGACCGCAGUACGUUACCAGAUUUACAGAGUUAUGAAGAUGGAUUGAAAAAAAAGAGUGCUGUUUUGGAAACAUAUUUCUAUUUAUGUUUAAAAUUAAAGAAUUUUUUUUGUUAAUUGUGCAGUAUAAAAUUACAUGUUUUUUAUUGUCAAAUAGUUUAUAGAAUAUUGGAGUAAUUAAUAAUUGAUGUAUCAAUAAAUAUUUCUAAUUCUCUUAUUA